rnacentral:lncRNA from 1 species
GAAAGGGAAAGAAGAAGAGUGAUGCUAAUCCACCACAAGAGCCUCCGAAGAAACCAAGAACAAAGAUGAGUGCAAGCAAGGGCCAAUCUUCUCGGUCCGCGGAAGCAUCUCCUCCUCGCCGGAGCAAUGUGAGUCAACCACAGGUCCACCCCCACUUCAUCAGUGCAAUCCACGAAAAAAGGUACACAAAAAUCCAAACCUUUACUAUUAAUCAAGAAAAAGGUUUUGGAGAGGACUUGUUGAAGGGUGUUGCUGAGUUAGGAAAUGAGGUCAAGUCUAGGAAAUGGGGGAAGUUUAAUAAAUUGAUGAUUAAAGAUGAAGCUAAUCCGGGGAAUCAGAUGUGGG